UGUAGCAGGGGUGCCCGUGUAAACCGGCUGAGAGUAGGCUGUACUGCCUUAACCCUUUUACCUGAUGCGGAUAAUACCGACGUAGGAAGCUCAUUAUAUUU
rnacentral:ncRNA from 1 species